UAUUUGGCAAUGGAGGAAACUCUGACCCAGCCAUGCCGCGUGAGUGAAGAAGGGUUUCGGAUUGUAAAGCUCUUUCGGUUGUGAAGAUGAUGACGGUAACAUCUAAAGAAGCCCCGGCAAACUUCGUGCCAGCAGCCGCGGUAAUACGAAGGGGGCAAGCGUUGUUCGGAAUUACUGGGCGUAAAGGGUGUGUAGGCGGGAAAGUAAGAUAGUGGUGAAAUGCCUGAGCUCAACUUGGGAACUGCCAUUAUAACUAUUUUUCUAGAGUGACAGAGAGGAUAUUGGAAUACCCAGUGUAGAGGUGAAAUUCGUAGAUAUUGGGUAGAACACCGGAGGCGAAGGCGAGUACCUGGCUGUCAACUGACGCUGAGGCACGAAAGCAUAGGGAUCGAACAGG
rnacentral:rRNA from 1 species